rnacentral:rRNA from 1 species
AUACGGAGGGUGCAAGCGUUAUUCGGAAUCACUGGGCGUAAAGGACGCGUAGGCGGUUUGAUAAGUCUGAUGUGAAAUCCUAUGGCUCAACCAUAGAACUGCAUUGGAAACUGUCAGACUAGAAUACUGAAGGGGCAGAUGGAAUUAGUGGUGUAGGGGUAAAAUCCGUAGAUAUCACUAGGAAUACCGAAAGCGAAAGCGAUCUGCUGGGAAGUUAUUGACGCUGAGGCACGAAAGCGUGGGGAGCAAACGGGAUUAGAAACCCUAGUAGUCC